GACGAACGCUGGCGGCGUGCUUAACACAUGCAAGUCGAACGGAAAGGCCCUGCUUUUGUGGGGUGCUCGAGUGGCGAACGGGUGAGUAACACGUGAGUAACCUGCCCUUGACUUUGGGAUAACUUCAGGAAACUGGGGCUAAUACCGGAUAGGAGCUCCUGCUGCAUGGUGGGGGUUGGAAAGUUUCGGCGGUUGGGGAUGGACUCGCGGCUUAUCAGCUUGUUGGUGGGGUAGUGGCUUACCAAGGCUUUGACGGGUAGCCGGCCUGAGAGGGUGACCGGCCACAUUGGGACUGAGAUACGGCCCAGACUCCUACGGGAGGCAGCAGUGGGGAAUAUUGCACAAUGGGCGGAAGCCUGAUACAGCAGCGCCGCGUGCGGGAUGACGGCCUUCGGGUUGUAAACCGCUUUCGCCUGUGACGAAGCGUGAGUGACGGUAAUGGGUAAAGAAGCACCGGCUAACUACGUG
rnacentral:rRNA from 1 species